GAUGAACGCUGGCGGCGUGCCUAAUACAUGCAAGUCGAGCGAACAGACGAGGAGCUUGCUCCUCUGACGUUAGCGGCGGACGGGUGAGUAACACGUGGAUAACCUACCUAUAAGACUGGGAUAACUUCGGGAAACCGGAGCUAAUACCGGAUAAUAUAUUGAACCGCAUGGUUCAAUAGUGAAAGACGGUUUUGCUGUCACUUAUAGAUGGAUCCGCGCCGCAUUAGCUAGUUGGUAAGGUAACGGCUUACCAAGGUAACGAUGCGUAGCCGACCUGAGAGGGUGAUCGGCCACACUGGAACUGAGACACGGUCCAGACUCCUACGGGAGGCAGCAGUAGGGAAUCUUCCGCAAUGGGCGAAAGCCUGACGGAGCAACGCCGCGUGAGUGACGAAGGUCUUCGGAUCGUAAAACUCUGUUAUUAGGGAAGAACAAAUGUGUAAGUAACUAUGCACGUCUUGACGGUACCUAAUCAGAAAGCCACGGCUAACUACGUG
rnacentral:rRNA from 1 species